UCCACCUGCCUCAGCCUCCCAAAGUGCUGGGAUUACAGGCGUGAGCCACCGCGCCUGGCCAAGCUCUGGUUAUUUUCUUACAUAGGAAAAAACCUAUCGCUGACUUAGCAACCAAAGCCUCCAUCGUUAGGCAAGGAAUAAAAUAAAACCAGCACGCUUUUUCCACUGUGAUUUUUAAAAGUCAUUAAAAAAUAUCUUUUCCCUUAUGUACAGAAAAAUUGGAACAGAAAAAUAUCUAACUUGCUGAGCAUUUGAUGGGAAAAAGUAAAAGAUAACUUCCAUUUGGUACACAACUUAUUGUACAUAGAGCUAUGAUUUGAGGAGGCAUCUAAUUUCUGAACAAAUUCACCAAGAAAUACCAUCACUUAAAGUCAUUAUCGCAAUCAUGCUGCAGUGAACACUCUAUACAAAAUGGCCAGGUCAUUAAACAUCAAAGAUGGAAAACAAGCCAGCAAUCUCUUCUGUUCUCUUCAAAGUGAAUGCAAAAUUGUUAAGGUAAUAAAAGCAAGAGGGGAAAAUCCCCAAAUGGCAUUCUUAGUGAUGAACAGAACUCACAGAUCAACAGAGGAGAGAGGGGCAGGAUGCUGGCGCUGUGUUCCUUUCUUUCUGCAUAAGGAAUGGUGGACAGAGCCUGUUAGGCGUGAUCCUCAAAAGGUUGGUCUCCGGAUGCUUAGGACUUCGAGGUCAAGGAAGUAAGUCCCCUGCCCCACUUCGGGACCCCUCAUCACUUAUAUAAAGAUAUGGUGAGGCAGAGAGGAGCAAUUUCUACAUGCAAGGAUUCCCCACCUUGUUCGAGACUAUCAGAUCUUAAAAUGACUAAAACUCAGGCUGCGUCCUGCCUGUAAGUAGCUCUGUCUCCUCACAGAGGUGAAGAGGGGUUUCCAGCAAUAACAAUACCAUGGAAUCCCCCUUGGAGAGAGACUAAAGAAGGACCUGUGCUGAUUUGUUUUAGAGGCUUUAUAACACACCAUGCAAGAUACUGGAUUUGACCUGCGGUGUGCAGAAAGCACGUGACUCAAGGGGAGCUCCACUCUGGUCUUGUCAGAAAAUAGAGUGAAAGGAGAGAAAAUGGAAGGGGAGAUUCCCUUUUAUUUGUCAUGUGCUUUUCCUUUUGUCUCUGACCAUGGGCUUAGAAAAAGCAGUGUAUUCAAUGUUUCUAUUUAUUCAUUUUCUCCUACCAGAGGCAUUUAAUGAAAAAGAACAAGAAAAACUUUUCCUAUGAAUAAUGAUCUCCUCUGCUUCUAUGGCCACUCUCCCCACUUCAGAACAGCAGCCAUGUGGAGAAUUAAGCAGAAGGUCCCUGCCCUCCUCAAGGUUAACAGAAUAGUGCAUGUUUAUCCAUCUGUAAAUGGCUUAGAGAUCCUAAAUCUCUCAAUAUUACUGGAACCAGCUGCUUUGAAAUGCCAAAGGGAAGGAGGAUGUUUCCCAAGGCCCCCAUCAAUGGACUGUGCUGUAGGUAACUGUGCUGACAUCAUGGUGAGUUCUACCUUUGCCCUUGGAGCCCUGAUUGCUGUUUUCCACAGUCAGUUAACUGCCUCAGUUGGUUUCUUGAAUUGUGCUAAAUUUUGAUCACAGCCAGCCCCAUAUAUUUGUCCUGAGUCGGGGAGCAUGAGCACAGGCAGGGGACAGGAAGGUGUGGCCAGCACCUUCUCCUCUCACCUCAUUAACAGAACCCAUCUUGGCUCCCUGCCUCUGCUUCCAGUCACACUGCCCCUGCUGAGUGAGCAGCUGUGCUCUGUUGACCUCCCGGCUACUUAGCUAAAGGGCAAUCAUUCCUUUCAAACCUCCUUCUUUUCCCCUCUCAAGUCCUCAAUAAUCCCUGAACCACCUGAGCAUGUUCCUUCAUGUUCCAUCUGGAGGGAAAUGGUCACCCGCCCUUACGUAAAACAUUGAAGAUACAUGAUCAGGAGAGCUAUCCCAGGUGUCCCAGGCAGGCCCCGAGGACAAAGAGUAGGACCACAUCUUAGGACUGUGCCUUGCACACCCUCCCCAGGCGCACCCUCCCCAGGAUCCCCAUGAUCCCAAUUUUUCAUCUCCACUCGGCAAACUAUGCUUAGAAGGCUGACUGUGCACACAGUGCCCACAAAGGAGCUGUGAGCUGCCAUAUUGGCCUUUAAUCAAGAUUUUCUUGUUUUUUUUUUGUGGGCCUGAGUCAUCUCUGCACAUAAGCCUUUUGCUCUCCCUAAGCUCACAAGUAAUGAGGGUGUGGACACUCCUGGCCCAGCCUAACACUGGCUCCUGGUGAAUAAACCCAAGAGGGUGUGGCCCCUUGGGCACCCUCUUACCCUCUCCUCCUUAAUCUGAAGCUUCACGCCGGCCUGGGUCUCCCUACCCAUCUUCGAAGCCCAGGCAGUCCGAGACGGUGCCUCUGCCUUGUGUGGAAACAUCUUUGUUAGUGUCACUCCUCUGCUCAGCAUCCCCUUGUUCAUUCCAUCUCCCUCCAGUGAAUUCACAGAAGGAAUGUUUAUGAAUCAGAGCAACUCCUAUCUUCGAAAAAUAUUCACUCAUUCAUUUAACAAACAUUUAUUGAGUGACUGUAUUAUGCCAGGCACUGUGCACUGUCCUAGGCACUUGAUAACACCCAAGCCUAAGAUACACCAAUUUACCUUAGAAGACCAUAUUCUCUGAUUUUGCCCCUCUUCCAAAACACGGCACUGACAGAGCCCAGAACAUUCCAGAAUUGGAAGGGACUUUCUAAAUCAUUUAAAUCAUCUGGCCAUUUUACAGACCAGCAAGCCUAGGAGCAAAGCCUAGGUCUUCAAGGCUAGGAAUCUUUGUGCUUCCUUGUUUACUGUCUCUUCUACUCAUUUGGAAAGCAAUGCUCUGUGUGACCUGGGGCAAGCCCCUUCCUCUCUCUGGGUCUCAACUUUCUUCCUGUAAAAUGGUGAAAUUGGGUGAAAGAGUCCUUAACGCUGCAUCUAAGACUUUCUGGAUCUCAUUGCAUACUGCUUUUAAACACUCUUGGGGUUCAUGGUGUAUUUCCACUUACAUGUGUUAUAUCUUCCCAACAAGGACAUAUGUUCUGUGUGGUCGGGGGAGAGGAGGGAAGGGCCAUUUAACAUCCCGGGUUACCCACAGCACUACAUACACAUUGCUGUUUACAUUGUGGGAGUUCAACUGCUUUUAGUUGACUGAACUGGAGGAGAGCAUACUGUUUUUUGUUUUUUGUUUUUUUUUCUGAGAUGUAGUCUCACUCUGUUGCCCAGGCUGGAGUACGG
rnacentral:lncRNA from 1 species